rnacentral:lncRNA from 1 species
AUCAUCAUCAUCGCGUCUCUCAUAAGUUGGCCUCUCAUACUCCUCUUCUUGCCUCCCAUAACUAGGCCUCCUGGGCGGCUCAUCUCCAUAACUCGGCCUCUCAUACUCAGUCCUCUCUCCAUAACCUCGUUCCUCCCCGUAACUUGGCUUGCGCCCAUACCCACCACCUUCAUAUUCGGACUCAUUCCUCCUUUCAUGCCCUGAUCCAUACUCCGUCCUGCCCCCAUAUCCAGAAUCAUAUUCCGAACUGGGUCUCUCAUACUCAGUACUCCCCCCAUACCCAGAUUCAGGUCUCUUGCCAUAGCCGGAUCCAUACUCCCCACCGGGUGGCCUCUCNNN